rnacentral:tRNA from 1 species
UGCGCGUGUGGCGGAAUUGGCAGACGCACUAGACUUAGGAUCUAGCGUCUUUGACGUGGGGGUUCGAGUCCCUUCACGCGCAUCC